CACGUAGGGCGCAAGCGUUGUCCGGAAUUAUUGGGCGUAAAGAGCUCGUAGGUGGUUUGUUACGUCUGCUGUGAAAACCUAGGGCUUAACCCUGGGCUUGCAGUGGAUACGGGCAGACUAGAGGUAGGUAGGGGGAGAAUGGAAUUCCUGGUGUAGCGGUGAAAUGCGCAGAUAUCAGGAGGAACACCGGUGGCGAAGGCG
rnacentral:rRNA from 1 species